UAUCACUAAGCGGAGGAAAAGAAACUAACAAGGAUUCCCUCAGUAACGGCGAGUGAAGCGGGAUGAGCCCAGCACCGAAUCCCCCAGCAUGUCGCUGGCGGGAACUGUGGUGUAUGGGACGCCACCUGUCGAAUGCACCGGUGUCCGAAGUCCUCCUGAUCGGGGCCUCUCCCAGAGUGGGUGUCAGGCCUUUACAGGCCGCUGGUGCGUCGGCUGCGAGCGUCUCCGGAGUCGGGUUGUUUGGGAAUGCAGCCCUAAGCGGGUGGUAAACUCC
rnacentral:rRNA from 1 species